rnacentral:rRNA from 1 species
UGGUGCCAGCAGCCGCGGUAAUUCCAGCUCCAAUAGCGUAUAUUAACGUUGUUGCAGUUAAAAAGCUCGUAGUUGAAGUGUGGGUGAUCGCUAUUGUGAGACUUCGGUCUCUCGAUAGUAAGUCACCCCCUUCCAGUAUCCAGUAGUGGGUAUUCACUUACUUACUAUUGUGUGUUGGUCCUUUACUGUGAGAA